rnacentral:rRNA from 1 species
UGGGNAUCCGCACGAGCGCACCCUUGUCAUUAGUUGCUACGAAAGGGCACUCUAAUGAGACUGCCGGUGACAAGCCGGAGGAAGGUGGGGAUGACGUCAAGUCCUCAUGGCCCUUAUGGGUAGGGCUUCACACGUCAUACAAUGGUACAUACAGAGGGCCGCCAACCCGCGAGGGGGAGCUAAUCCCAGAAAGUGUAUCGUAGUCCGGAUUGUAGUCUGCAACUCGACUGCAUGAGGUUGGAAUCGCUAGUAAUCGCGGAUCAGCAUGUCGCGGUGAAUACGUUCCCGGGUCUUGUACACACCGCCCGUCACACCAUGGGAGCGGGUUUUACCAGAAGUAGGUAGCUUAACCGCAAGGAGGGCGCUUACCACGGUAGGAUUCGUGACUGGGGUGAAGUCGUAACAAGGUAGCCGUAUCGGAAGGUGCGGCUGGAUCACCUCCU